rnacentral:rRNA from 1 species
AACGAACGCUGGCGGCAUGCCUAACACAUGCAAGUCGAACGAGACCUUCGGGUCUAGUGGCGCACGGGUGCGUAACGCGUGGGAAUCUGCCCUUGGGUUCGGAAUAACAGUUGGAAACGACUGCUAAUACCGGAUGAUGACGUAAGUCCAAAGAUUUAUCGCCCAAGGAUGAGCCCGCGUAGGAUUAGCUAGUUGGUGAGGUAAAGGCUCACCAAGGCGACGAUCCUUAGCUGGUCUGAGAGGAUGAUCAGCCACACUGGGACUGAGACACGGCCCAGACUCCUACGGGAGGCAGCAGUGGGGAAUAUUGGACAAUGGGCGAAAGCCUGAUCCAGCAAUGCCGCGUGAGUGAUGAAGGCCUUAGGGUUGUAAAGCUCUUUUACCCGGGAUGAUAAUGACAGUACCGGGAGGAAUAAAGCUCCGGCUAACUCCGUGCCAGCAGCCGCGGUAAUGUGACUACUG